rnacentral:rRNA from 1 species
GAUGAACGCUGGCGGCGUGCCUAACACAUGCAAGUCGAACGGAGUUAUUAUUAUGAAGUUUUCGGAUGGAUUAAUAAUAACUUAGUGGCGGACGGGUGAGUAACGCGUGGGUAACCUGCCUCAUACAGGGGGAUAACAGUUGGAAACGGCUGCUAAAACCGCAUAACAUUGCACUGCCGCAUGACAGAGCAAUUAAAUAUUUAUAGGUAUGAGAUGGGCCCGCGUCUGAUUAGCUAGUUGGUAAGGUAACGGCUUACCAAGGCGACGAUCAGUAGCCGGCUUGAGGGAGUGACCGGCCACAGUGGGACUGAGACACGGCCCAAACUCCUACGGGAGGCAGCAGUGGGGAAUAUUGCACAAUGGGGGAAACCCUGAUGCAGCGACGCCGCGUGAGUGAAGAAGUAUUUCGGUAUGUAAAGCUCUAUCAGCAGGGAAGAAAAUGACGGUACCUGACUAAGAAGCCCCGGCUAACUACGUGCCAGCAGCCGCUGUAA